AGGGGGCAGAGGGCCGGCGCUUCACAUGAAGCCGGCGCGGCGCGGCGCGGGAGCGCGAGUGGCCCGAGCGAGCGCGGCGGAGAACGAGCGCCGGCCUGCCCCCGGGCCGCGCUCCCCGCCCCUAGGCCUCCGCCUCCCGCCUCCGCCCGACGCGCCAGGGGCCCGGCCGGCCGCGGCGCGUCUGCGCGCCCCUCCCUCGGCGGCGUCCCACGCCCCCUUCCGGCCGGGGGCGCGCGGGCGGAGCGUCGCUCGGCGCGCGCGGAGUGGGGCGCAGGGUCCCCCUCGCCUUGGCCUGCGGAGCGGGCGAGAUUUGUUUGCUUGUUUGUUGGCGAUCUUUGUUUCCUGUCAACUUCUCUCACAGAAAAACUGUGGAAAGGCCAAGUGCCUCUCUUCACCACGUCAAAACAAGUGUCGGCUUGGGCUCGCGGACUUACUGAAGUCCAAGGAGUUGAGGAGGAAGAUGAAAGAAAGGCGCGUAAUUGGUAUUUGUCAAAAUGUCAAAACUGGAGAAGACCAAACUUCGUGAAGUGCUACUUUUAUGCUUAAGAAAGUUAUAUAUCGUGGUUUUGUUAUGUAUGAAAAUGAAUUGAGAAAGAACGUUUAAUCUGUAAAUUCCACAAUGAAGUUGGACAUGGAGAAAUGAAGGAAAAUAGAGCAAGGAAUGGCUAGGAAAGUAUAGAAAUAUUUGCUUGGAUUUUAGAGUUUACAGGAUGCUACAAGAAACAAAUGAUGUCAAGGUUCAGAACUAUUAUAAAAAUGCGUUUGGGCAUCCCCCUCCCCCUUUUUAAAUCUCAUUUAGUACAAAGACUAUAAAAUCGUAUUCAAAAUCGCACACCAACUUCUGAUGGUUUACCAAUAUCUACCAGAUCAUAUCAAAAAUACAGACUAACUUUCCAGAACCACCAUUAUAUUCUGGGCCUAUGUAUAUGUACUGUGAAAAUAGAAGGGGUGCUGGGGUGCCUGGGUGGCUCAGUUGGUUAAGCGACUGCCUUCGGCUCAGGUCAUGAUCCUGGCGUCCCGGGAUCGAGUCCCACGUCAGGCUUCCUGCUCGGCGGGGAGUCUGCUUCUCCCUCUCCUGCUCUCCCCUCUUGUGCUCUUUCUCUCUCUCACUCUCUCUCUCAAAUAAAUAAAUAAAAUCUUAAAAAAAAAGAAAAUAGAAGGGGUGCUAGAACAUUGAUACUAGCCUCUCAUUGGCUUGAAAUUUCACUUUAUUCUUUUUUUGAAUCUUAAAAGACUUUUCAGUCUUCAAGAGUCCUAUAGGAAACUGCAGCUAACAAUUUAAUGGUCCUUCAGAAUAGGCUAGAGCCUAGUUCCCUGUAGGAAAGGUAAGAGAGAGAGAGGGAAGUAGCAGGAGAGGAGGCUCUGAAAGGGGUGGUCAAAAGCCACACAGAACAAAAUAUGCUGUCUUCACAGUUUCAUUCUGGCCCUGACAGACCCCGCCCUACUCAUCUGGGGCUCCUAGCUUCAACUCCAUUUUCUCCACACGCUGUUGCUGUCUCUAUGUCCUUGCAUCUCCGUUUAUUGCUGUUCUUUCUGUCCAAUACCUUCAUGUAUUUCAAGAUCCAUCUGAGUCAGAACUUUUCCUCAACCACAUCUUUCCACCACUUCUGGUCACAUCUCUCCCACAAUUCCCUGAUACACAACUGAAUGUCUAGGUCUCUUAGUUGAGACUGAAUUGUGCAGUAAAUAAUAUGACUGGCCUUUGAGGGUAUGUUUGACUUCCCAGCCACACUGUAAACUGUGAGAGAUUAAAGAACAUUAUUCUGUAUUCUUCUUGUACCCCUUACACUUUUAGUACAGUGCUAAUCCCACCAGGAACAUGACUUCCGUUGAGGUAAAUGUCCUGCUCUUUAUGUUCUUCAGGAUGGACAAAUGGAUAAAGUAUUUGCUUUAUGUUGUUUCUCUAAGGCCUAUUUUUUUUUUUUUAAGAUUUAUUUUAGAGAGCACGCAUGCCAGCCUGAGUGAGGGGAGGGUCAGAGGGAGAGUGAGAAUCUUAAGCAGGCUCCGCCCCCAGCUCAAAAUCCCUUGGGUCUGGAUCUCACCACCCUGAGAUCAUGACCUGAGCCGAAAUUAAGAGUCUGGCACUUAUCUGACUGAGCCCCUCUAAGGGGUACCCCUCUAAGGCCUAUUAUUUAUUAUUUAGUUUUGUUGUUUAAAUACUUUUAGACAACAAAGAAUUUUUGGGAAAGGCAAUGGUGAACCAUAUUUUAUAUUUAAAAACCAACCACCAGAGUCAAGCUAUAAAGAAAGGGGGGGGGGGUGUGAAUGCCAGCAGGUGGUAAUAUUAGAAUAGAAUACAGAAAUUGUUGAAUCUCCAAUAGCACAAUUGUAUGUUUUCUUCUACAUGAUAAUUUUUAAUGCAAAAUGUUAAGGGUACAGAAAUAGUAGGGAAGGAAAUCCUUGAAACAGCAAGCUAUUUAGAAAUAUAAAGGGUUUUAAUUGCAUUCUCAACUUGGACAUUUUUAAAAAAUGUCCAAGUUGUUUUAUUUAUUUAGUAAUGAAAGCCAUAUCACACAUGAAGAGAGUCUAGUUAUUUGCUUCUUCAAGGAUUUCUUUCCCCAAAAAGUACUGUAUUGUGGACCACACUGCAGAAGCUCUGCGUAAGGAAUAAUGUCUGAUUCACCUAUGCUUACAAUGUAGAGGAACAAACAAAUUUAUAUUAGAUGUGGAUAAUUCCAUCUAGCAAGUUGUAGUGGAAACAGUAGGGUCUUUGGUGUCAGACUGAAGUUUGAAAUCUGUUUCUGUGUCUUUCUAGUUUUAUGGCCUAAGGCAAGACAGCUAUUAUCUCGUCAUCACAUUCCUCAUCUGUGAAAUAGCAAUCAUGAUAACAACCUUCCCAAACUGAUGUGAGCAUCACAUGGAAUCACAUGGAAGUAGGUGCUCAGGAUAGCUGCUGGAAUUGUUAUACUGCAGAAGGCAAAAAUCAAUUUUAUAAUAGGGAGAUUGUUCUCAUUACUGCUCCUUCAUGCCCAUCUCAGAACAAACACAAUCUGCAUUCAGAACAGGACCAUUUACAAGUUCAAUGGAGUUAUUUUGGGAAAAAGAAAAAAUAAGAAAGAACUGAAGUAUGGGAAUCUUUUCAAAUGUUUCACUGCUUGAAGAUAUGGAAAACGAGCCACAGAGAGGGGUCUUCAAAGUGUAGCCGUUAAAAGAAUGUUUACCCGGCAAAUGGAAUCCGAAGUUGGGAGAGGCCUGAAGAUAAAGGUUACAUCAAAUACACCUGGAAAUUUUAUUGGCUCUACAUUUAAAAUAUAUUCAGAAUUUAGGAAGUUCUUCAGGCAAAAGGAAUAUGAGACCAACCAUAAACUUGGAUCUACAUCAAGAAAUGAAGAGCAUUGGAAGUGGAAUCAAGCAAGAUGACGAAACCCAGGCUCUGUUGUUGAAGAACAUAUACUUUGUGAAUGAUUUAAAAAAAAUUUUCACAGAAACUUGGCCAAUGGCCUGAUAUGAGUGACGAAUUUUUAGGCAGUUAUUGAAAUGUUUGCCUUUCAAAGCACUUCUUUGGAAAAGGAAACCAUUCCCCUUGGAACCACCUAUCAAACUUCUAUUACCUGCUGCCACCGCUAUCAUUAAUAACAUGUGAACAGAACUUCAUCUCUAUAUAACAACUGGAAAAUCAACAGCUAUUCAUUCACCAGAUGUUUUUUGAAUUCCGUGUGGGCAAAGCUCUGUACUUUGUUUCAUAUAGGUGGAAAAUAUGAGACCCGACUUCCUCAAGGGGUUUGUAAGUAAAUAAGGGAAAAGAGACAUUGAUGUAAGUAAUUAUGUCCUAAGGAAGAAAGGUCCCCUUGAAGAUCCAUUUUAUUUUAAUGUAGAAAAUAGAAGUAUAACCCGAGGUAAUGUUUAAGAGACUCACAUAAGAAGAAUCCUUGGUCU